AACGAACGCUGGCGGCAGGCCUAACACAUGCAAGUCGAGCGAGGACUCCGGUCUUUGCGGCGGACGGCGGGGUAACGCGUGGGAACGUGCCCGUUGCUUCGGAAUCGCUCUGGGAAACUUGGAGUAAUACCGGAUGGGCUCUUUGGGGGAAAGAUCUAUUGGCGUAGGAUCGGCCCGCGUUGGAUUAGGUGGUUGGUGGGGUAAUGGCCUGCCAAGCGGAGGAUCCAUAGCUGGUUUGGGAGGAGGAUCAGCCACACUGGGACUACGACACAGCCUAGAAUCGUACGCAAGGGAGGAGAGUAGAAUCCUAGACAAGGGGGGCAGCCCUGAUCUAGCCAUGCCGGGUAAGAGAUGAAGGGCUUAGGGAUGUAAUGCCCUUUCAGCUGGGAAGAUAGUGACGGUACCGGCUAAAGAAGCCCCGGCUAACUCCGUG
rnacentral:rRNA from 1 species